rnacentral:rRNA from 1 species
AUGAGUAUCUUCAGCUGGAACUGUCGUGGUGCGGGCAAAGCCGCGACAGUUAGAGAACUUCGCGAUAUUGUGAAGGAUUUUGCCCCUACCCUGAUUUGUAUUGUUGAAACGCAAAUUGAUAGAACUAGGGUAGAAAGUUUAGCUGGAAGUAUUGGGUAUGAUAAUGGUUAUGCUGUCAGUAGUCAAGGAAGGAGUACCACCGGGUGCAAUGAGUAUCUUCAGCUGGAACUGUCGUGGUGCGGGCAAAGCCGCGACAGUUAG